rnacentral:rRNA from 1 species
GUCUAAGUAUAAGCAACUAUACGGUGAAACUGCGAAUGGCUCAUUAAAUCAGUUAUCGUUUAUUUGAUAGUACCUUACUACUUGGAUAACCGUGGUAAUUCUAGAGCUAAUACAUGCUAAAAACCUCAACUUCGGAAGGGGUGUAUUUAUUAGAUAAAAAACCAGCGCCCUUCGGGGCUCCUUGGUGAUUCAUAAUAACUAAACGAAUCGCAUGGCCUUGCGCCGGCGAUGGUUCAUUCAAAUUUCUGCCCUAUCAACUUUCGAUGGUAGGAUAGUGGCCUACCAUGGUAUCAACGGGUAACGGGGAAUUAGGGUUCUAUUCCGGAGAGGGAGCCUGAGAAACGGCUACCACAUCCAAGGAAGGCAGCAGGCGCGCAAAUUACCCAAUCCCGACACGGGGAGGUAGUGACAAUAAAUACUGAUACAGGGCUCUUUUGGGUCUUGUAAUUGGAAUGAGUACAAUUUAAAUCCCUUAACGAGGAACAAUUGGAGGGCAAGU